rnacentral:sRNA from 1 species
CGACUCCACGCGCCGAAUCGUAAUUUUUGUAAUUACGUACGGGGGAUUACUAGGAUUUUAUCCUAGGGUGAAUCGUUUGCCAUAACGGGCAAAUGUAGGGCUCCUUCAGCCCGAACCACAGAACUAACCUCGAAGGCAAUAUCCGAAGGAAGG